AACGAACGCUGGCGGCAUGCCUAACACAUGCAAGUCGAACGAGACCUUCGGGUCUGGUGGCGCACGGGUGCGUCACGCGUGGGAACCUGCCCUUAGGUUCGGAAUAACUCCCCGAAAGGGGUGCUAAUACCGGAUAAUGUCUUCGGACCCAAGAUUUAUCGCCUUUGGAUGGGCCCGCGUUGGAUUAGCUAGGUGGUAGGGUAAAAGCCUACCAAGGCGACGAUCCAUAGCUGGUCUGAGAGGAUGAUCAGCCACACUGGGACUGGGACACGGCCCAGACUCCUACGGGAGGCAGCAGUGGGGAAUAUUGGACAAUGGGCGAAAGCCUGAUCCAGCAAGGCCGCGUGAGUGAUGAAGGCCUUAGGGUUGUAAAGCUCUUUUACCCGGGAUGAUAAUGACAGUACCGGGAGAAUAAGCUCCGGCUAACUCCGUG
rnacentral:rRNA from 1 species